rnacentral:rRNA from 1 species
GACGAACGCUGGCGGCGUGCUUAACACAUGCAAGUCGAACGGAAAGGCCCUGCUUUUGUGGGGUGCUCGAGUGGCGAACGGGUGAGUAACACGUGAGUAACCUGCCCUUGACUUUGGGAUAACUUCAGGAAACUGGGGCUAAUACCGGAUAGGAGCUCCUGCUGCAUGGUGGGGGUUGGAAAGUUUCGGCGGUUGGGGAUGGACUCGCGGCUUAUCAGCUUGUUGGUGGGGUAGUGGCUUACCAAGGCUUUGACGGGUAGCCGGCCUGAGAGGGUGACCGGCCACAUUGGGACUGAGAUACGGCCCAGACUCCUACGGGAGGUAGCAGUGGGGAAUAUUGCACAAUGGGCGGAAGCCUGUUGCAGCAACGCCGCGUGCGGGAUGACGGCCUUCGGGUUGUAAACCGCUUUCGCCUGUGACGAAGCGUGAGUGACGGUAAUGGGUAAAGAAGCACCGGCUAACUACGUG